GAGAAUAAAAUUUAUAUAAUUCGAACAUAGCCCCUAAGUGCAAUGAUAAAUCACAUUUAGCUAUCCAUUAAUAAUUGAUUUCAAGAUAAAUUAAUUUUAUCUUCAUAAGUUUUAGCUCUUCUUAAGAGAUUAUUUAGUUUUUCCCUCUCACCCUUAUCCCUUAUCCAACUUCCCCACUCAAAUCUCUUCUCCCCACACCUGAUUCAGCCCUUUUUCCCACUUUAGGGUCAUUUUUCUCAUUAGAUCUAUUCACCCCAAAUACGAAUCUGCAAAACAAAUUCUCUGCGACUAGGUGAUCGGCGUUGGGAGACCUUCUGGGUGGACUUUGUAAGUGCAUUUGUCUUUUGUCUUUCAAAACAAAACACAACAUCUGUUAUUAGUUGUUUUACUUUAAGUUUAUUUUAGUUGAACAAAAAUUGCCUUUCUACUGCUAUCUUUGCUGAUUGCAUAAAGUCAUGGGCGGAUCCACAUAGAGAAUUGUGCGUGUUCAAGCACCCAUUGUCCAUGCUUGGUAUCGAACAUAUAAUGUUAUAAACAAUUUCGCAUGAAAUAAUGGAUAUAUAUUAGGGUGAGCAACCAUUACUCAAACAGUGGGUGCUAAUGAUUAAUGAAAUCUAAAUAUACGCUUUGUGUGAUCCGGAGUUCGAUUCUUACGUAAUGCACUUUUUGACUUUCUUUUUCGUCUCCCUUUAACAUGACUUUUCCUUUUGUUCUUAACUUUGCCGUUCUUUUUCAACUCAUUUAGUUCAUCGUGGCACAAAAAGAAAAUAUAUUCAAUUUACCAUCACCAAAUUUGACAGCUUAUAUUGUGGUUUGGGAUCCUCACAAUAAUGAUAAUAUUUAAGAAAAUAUGGAUAUUUAUAUUUUUCGUCACUCACCAUAUCGGGGUGGAAUGGAUGAAAUGGAGGUUAGUGUCUGGAGUCAUGUGUGACAAGAAGGCGCCACUGAAACUUAAAGGUAAGUUCUAUAGAGCGAUAAUUAGACCGGCCAUGCUAUAUGGGGCUGAGUGUUGGCCAGUCAAAAAUUCUCAUAUCCAGAAGAUGAAAGUAGCCGAAUUGAGAUAGAUGUGUGGGCACACUAGGCUGGAUAAGAUUAGGAAUGAAGAUAUUUAGGAGAAGGUGGGCGUGGCUCCCAUGGGCAACAAGAUGCGGGAAACGAGGCUUAGAUGGUUCGGGCAUGUGCAGAGGAGGAGCCUAGAUGCCCCGGUUAGGAGGUGUGAACGGUUGUCUUUGACAGAUACAAGGAGAGGUAGAGGGCGGCCUAAGAAAUAUUGGGGCGAGGUGAUAAGGCAAGACAUGGCGCAACUUCAGAUUUUCGAGGACAUGACCCUCGAUAGGGAGGCGUGGAGGUCGAGCAUUAGGGUUGUAGGUUAGAGUUUAGUUAAGCUUUUUUCUUCGUUGUUCUGGCUAGUCUAAUAGUGUUUUAUAUAAGACUGCUAGCGGUUAUUGUUCCAUCACACUUUCUAUUUUUUGUUUAUUAUUUUUUUACUUUUAUAUUAUAUUUUAUUUUUAAUUUUUAUUAUUGCCAUAAUUAUUGUCCUUCCACUUAUUUGUUGUCACUUGGUGUUGAUCUUAUUUGUAUGUUUUCUGUUGUUGUUACAGAUUUUUUAUUUUUAAGCCAAGGGUCUCCCAGAAAUAGUCUCUCUACCUUCAUGGAUAGGGGUAAGGUCUGCAUACAGUCUACCCUCUCUAGACCUCACUAGUGGAAUUAUUACUUGGUUGUUGUUGUUGUAUUUUUUUGUCACUCAAUUUCUGUUUUAUCCGUAUUAAAUAUAAGUGGUUCGGAAAUUUUAUCUGUGUUGUUUAAAACGUAUUUAAUCCAUUCAUAUUGUUAACCCUCAAAAACAUAUAACAAUUGAAUUUAUAUGUGAUUUUAAGGAUACACGGAUUAAUUCAAUACAAAUGAUAAACAAUGUUAGAUUAAACAGAGAAAGUGUCAUGACCUAAAUCGAUGGGCCACGACGGGUGCCUGAGUCUUACCUGUCAAACAUCCCUAAGCAUGCGUCUAGGAUAUGAACCUGUAUAACAUCUGUUGAAUUACGAAGAUAACAUACAUGAAAUAAACAUGCCAACAAGGAAUAUGUACGUAUACAUGCAAAAUACAGCGGGCGAGCCAGCAAGACUGCUAUAGCCAACUACACAUCCAAUAACUGAAAGCCGACAAUGCCACUUACAACCCAACUAGACAUACUAUCUACAUACCUCUAAUAAAAACAUAACUGUACAAAGACGGGACUGAGCCACAUCAUACCUAUAUACAUACAUAUAUAUAUAUAUAUACAAACGUAUCAUAUCAAAAUCAAAGCAGCUCCAGAUCAAGUGGAGCACGCCAACUCUCGCUGAUCAGGGAUCCUAAGAAAGAGGACCAUCAGCUUUCCUACCUGCACAUAGGGGCGUGGAACGCAGGCCCCGUGAAAUAGGGCGUCAGUACAAAAAAUGUACUGAGUAUGUAAGGCAUGAAUAUUAGUACGUAAAAGACAUAGAUGAAACAUGGAAUAAGGAAACACAUCUUUAAAUCUGAAUAACUUUGUAAAUUUGAAACGUUUAUAAUGUCAUGCACGUGCGUAUAAAUGUCGUGCCAUGCAUAGGUGUGGGUGUACAUAAUAUCAUCAAGCCACUGAGGGCAUCCCAUCGUAUCGUCUCGGCCACUGUAGGCAACAUCAUCAACAUAUACCAGCUGAUCAGGU
rnacentral:lncRNA from 1 species